AUAGGCUAUGUGUGGUAGAGCGUCAGUCUUGUAAACUGAAGGUCCGUAGUUCGAUCCUGCGU
rfam:Picea glauca, whole genome shotgun sequence.